rnacentral:lncRNA from 1 species
ACCAAAUUUAUAAGUACUAACAAUAUAAGGCCAAGUAAGUACGAUAGCAAAGACGAUUCUAAAUCUUAUAUAAGUGCAUCACAGUGCUGAUAAAACACAGCACAUAAAAAACUCGAAACAAACAACUACCGUUGUAAACUCUAGCUAGGUUCUAUUAGAUGCUACAAUUACUUAUGCUGAGCACAUAGGCAACUGUUUUCACCUACAUCUGAUGCUAUGCAAUACGGUUGAAAUGUACCAUCUUCAAACCAGGUAGCACGCUUCUGCACAAGCUCGUUUAGAAAAUCAUCAAGCUUCUCAAUAGUGACGUUUGGCAUCACCACCACAUGAGCGAUGUUCCCCUUGCAUGCUAACUGCCACUUGCGUAUAAAUUCUUCAUCAUGUGGUCGCUCAAAUACAACCGUGCUGCUAAGCUCAUUAAGCAUUGCACCAAUCCCAGCCUCGAUAAGGCGGUCUUUGAAGUAGUAUGCAUUCCGCAAGCAUUUCUGCACUUCUUUCUGAAAGCCUCUGUAUCCUUUCCGGUUCAAGGUAUACCAAAGGAAUAUGGGAGCAUGGCCAUUUCGACUACCCAUGAUCGAUAGUCGCAUCCCUAGAAGCAAGGUAUUCCACAUUCCUGGAAAGACCAUUAAUAUGCUCCAAUCUUGUUAUCUGCACACCACAAGGCAUUGGGCACCCCACAAAUUUGUGGCCAGAAACACUGACACUGCCAAUAGGCUUCUUAAAAGUAACUUUUGGAGCCUGACAAAGCACAAUUUAUUUUUUAUUAAAUAAAAUAUUAUAAAUAUCAACUCUGUCGAUGCAUAUGAAAUGGAUACAAAAUAACAGAAUAUGGCACGAUCCAAGAAACUACAGGAAUAGUUCUCAUUUUAUAAAGCUAGCAGCCAAACAAUCACAUAUCGUCCAACAUAGAUGUAUUGACAAAGAAGCAACAAACUUAAUAUUCUCUAUUUUUUAAAUAUAACCAGGUCAGAAUAAAGACAAAAUUCUCAGACUUAAAUUUGAAAUAAGGGGUGCCAUUUCUUCUGAAUGUAAAUAGUCACCAAUAGUAAUGAUCAUAUUUGUAUAAAUUAGGCUAAUCAAUAAGCAUUAGAAAAGCAACUCAACUAUCAUAUAUGAACAAAGUUUGAUCAUAUAAUAAUUGGAAUAAGGUCUACGAAUAUGACCUUAUUGCUAAAGUGAAAAUGCAGAACAAGCUGGGUAAGAUAGAAAGGGCAUGCAUGGAAGAACCAAAAUGCAGUGUGCAAAUAUCAAAUAUGCAAACAACCAAAACAAAUGGCAAUGACACAUAAGCAUUCCCUAUCAGAACAUAUGGAGAUAGCAGAUGGAGGUUNNNNNNNNNNNNNNNNNNNNNNNNNNNNNNNNNNNNNNNNNNNNNNNNNNNNNNNNNNNNNNNNNNNNNNNNNNNNNNNNNNNNNNNNNNNNNNNNNNNNCCUCGGUCACGGUAAAAUAGAAAACAACCACCAUCGAAGACAACGAACAACAAACCUCAAUCAUUGCUCACCAUUUCGUCCUCUUUCCAUUCCAUCAACAAGGUGGUCUUGUUCUUGUUCAUUGUUGACAAGGUAUUUCUAGAUCAACCUCUUUUGUCAUUGCUUAUCUCUGUAGAGAAAAGGACAAAUAUUUGAAGAUGCUUUUCAAUUUCAAUAUUAUGUGAAGAAUGCUCGUGUUACAAAUCCUAACAUGGAUUUUGCUUGUCAAAUUUUACAAGUGUUAGAAAAGAGUUGUAAAUGUAAAUUCAAAUGCAAAUGUUAAUGCUAGCCUUCAAGUCCUAUUUAUGUUCUUGGGAUGUUAUAAAAUGGCCCCUCAUUCACCUAAUGGCCCUCUUAAUUGGGUGCCUAAAAUGGUGAUAAGCCAAUAAAACAUCAAAUGCAAAGCGUUUGUUUCUCGUGGUGCUUUUACUGUUCACGUUUCUUCUGCUACAUACAUAAGUUUGUAUUGUAAAAAUUGUAGUUCGGUUACGCAAGAUCAGCAGCUACGUUGAUCGUUCAUUAUGAGAAAUAAAUGCUUCAAAUCACAACAUAUGUGCAAAUGAUGAGCUAGUUGACUUUUUGGUUGCUCGCUCUAAAAACAAACAAUUUGACGGAGAAUCAAGGGUGUUAAUAUAAAAGAGAGGUGUUUUGUUUAUUUGAUUGAAAUUUAAGGGGGUUAGUGUUGGUUUUAAAACUAGAGGGGGUCUAACUGUCAUUUUAAUAAACCUUAGGGAAGGUAAAUGUAAUUUUCCCUUAACCAAUUUGCGAGAUUGUCUUUUACAUGAGUUGGGACCACUAUCAAGAUUGGUAGUCGAGUUCAGCUCCCACAUAAGGUGGCGAGCAUUACAAUGAGUAGGUUCAACUCCUGGUUUUGAAUCUCUUCUCACUUUUUCUUUGACUCAGAAACCAAUGAAAGAUAAAAAUCAUAGUGACUCUAAGAAAGCUUUCUUUUCCACAAGUUUUCAUCCAUCCGUUUUUUUAACUAACUUGGUAAUUGCAGCUUUCGCUGUGGAAACUGAACAAUAUAUGAUCAAUAACAAGCCAAGUAAUGGCUAUUUGACCAAAUUUAUAAGUACUAACAAUAUAAGGCCAAGUAAGUACGAUAGCAAAGACGAUUCUAAAUCUUAUAUAAGUGCAUCACAGUGCUGAUAAAACACAGCACAUAAAAAACUCGAAACAAACAACUACCGUUGUAAACUCUAGCUAGGUUCUAUUAGAUGCUACAAUUACUUAUGCUGAGCACAUAGGCAACUGUUUUCACCUACAUCUGAUGCUAUGCAAUACGGUUGAAAUGUACCAUCUUCAAACCAGGUAGCACGCUUCUGCACAAGCUCGUUUAGAAAAUCAUCAAGCUUCUCAAUAGUGACGUUUGGCAUCACCACCACAUGAGCGAUGUUCCCCUUGCAUGCUAACUGCCACUUGCGUAUAAAUUCUUCAUCAUGUGGUCGCUCAAAUACAACCGUGCUGCUAAGCUCAUUAAGCAUUGCACCAAUCCCAGCCUCGAUAAGGCGGUCUUUGAAGUAGUAUGCAUUCCGCAAGCAUUUCUGCACUUCUUUCUGAAAGCCUCUGUAUCCUUUCCGGUUCAAGGUAUACCAAAGGAAUAUGGGAGCAUGGCCAUUUCGACUACCCAUGAUCGAUAGUCGCAUCCCUAGAAGCAAGGUAUUCCACAUUCCUGGAAAGACCAUUAAUAUGCUCCAAUCUUGUUAUCUGCACACCACAAGGCAUUGGGCACCCCACAAAUUUGUGGCCAGAAACACUGACACUGCCAAUAGGCUUCUUAAAAGUAACUUUUGGAGCCUGACAAAGCACAAUUUAUUUUUUAUUAAAUAAAAUAUUAUAAAUAUCAACUCUGUCGAUGCAUAUGAAAUGGAUACAAAAUAACAGAAUAUGGCACGAUCCAAGAAACUACAGGAAUAGUUCUCAUUUUAUAAAGCUAGCAGCCAAACAAUCACAUAUCGUCCAACAUAGAUGUAUUGACAAAGAAGCAACAAACUUAAUAUUCUCUAUUUUUUAAAUAUAACCAGGUCAGAAUAAAGACAAAAUUCUCAGACUUAAAUUUGAAAUAAGGGGUGCCAUUUCUUCUGAAUGUAAAUAGUCACCAAUAGUAAUGAUCAUAUUUGUAUAAAUUAGGCUAAUCAAUAAGCAUUAGAAAAGCAACUCAACUAUCAUAUAUGAACAAAGUUUGAUCAUAUAAUAAUUGGAAUAAGGUCUACGAAUAUGACCUUAUUGCUAAAGUGAAAAUGCAGAACAAGCUGGGUAAGAUAGAAAGGGCAUGCAUGGAAGAACCAAAAUGCAGUGUGCAAAUAUCAAAUAUGCAAACAACCAAAACAAAUGGCAAUGACACAUUAUCAUUCUCUAUCAGAACAUAUGGAGAUAGCAGAUGGAGGUUUCAGCAUUAUAUCUCACAUGUUACAUGAUUUAUUCAUGGUAACAUUAGCACUUACUCGUUUCACAAAAGGCAUCAUGAGACCAAACAAAGCUCCAUCAACGUGGAUGUAGAACCUGUCCUGUGAAAAUCCAGCUUCUUCAAGUUUUUGUAUGACCAGAUCAAGAUCAUCCACAGCUCCUUUCACAGUUGUACCUGCAAAAUUUCAGUUCUAUGAGCCAGAACCAAAAGAAUGAAGAUGAGGGGAGGCAUGGGACUAUUGGAGAGACAGUGUGGAGAAACUUACCGAUGUUCACAUUUAUAAUUGCUGGUUUGUCUUGGUGGCGAAGAAGUUUGGCCUUGAAAUCAUCACAAUCAAUCUCGCCAGAAUUAAGAGUCUCAACCUUUUCACAUUCCAUUCUGUACAUACGGGCAGCUUUAAAAAUUGAAAGGAUCUCCAAGGUUGUUUAUGGAAAAGUGCUGAAGUUGAGAGAGUGCGCCAUAAUCGAAAUCCAAAUUGUAGGGGUAGCCUGCAAUAGAUUUUUCAUAAAUUAAAUGAGAUGCUAGGCCGAAUUAACUACAGAGAUUAGUUGAAGAAAUGAGCUUCAACGGAUACACAAACAACAACCAAGUCAUAUCUCACCAUGUACAUGGAUCAAAUGCCGCCAUAAUGUUCUAUAAUAUAGCAUAUCCCUAUCCAACUCAUUAAUUAAUCUCUAGAUCUUUCUCAAUGGUUACACAAAAUCCUAGUAAAAUAAAGUUACUUCAAAAAUGGAAAUGGAAAUAAAAAUCAUUUAAAUGCACUGUUAGAGAUUCCAAAAAUAUAUGCAAGACUACAAUUUUUUUUAAAUUCCCUCUUGUAUAUAGAACAUCUUAUGUGUCUUUUCGAAUGUUUUUGUAUUGUAUAAAUCUACUUUCUCACAUGCACAACUUUCAAAGGGGUCUUUUUGUGAAUCAAGGCAACAUCCACUGAAAUUGUNUCAUAUAUGAACAAAGUUUGAUCAUAUAAUAAUUGGAAUAAGGUCUACGAAUAUGACCUUAUUGCUAAAGUGAAAAUGCAGAACAAGCUGGGUAAGAUAGAAAGGGCAUGCAUGGAAGAACCAAAAUGCAGUGUGCAAAUAUCAAAUAUGCAAACAACCAAAACAAAUGGCAAUGACACAUAAGCAUUCCCUAUCAGAACAUAUGGAGAUAGCAGAUGGAGGUUUCAGCAUUAUAUCUCACAUGUUACAUGAUUUAUUCAUGGUAACAUUAGCACUUACUCGUUUCACAAAAGGCAUCAUGAGACCAAACAAAGCUCCAUCAACGUGGAUGUAGAACCUGUCCUGUGAAAAUCCAGCUUCUUCAAGUUUUUGUAUGACCAGAUCAAGAUCAUCCACAGCUCCUUUCACAGUUGUACCUGCAAAAUUUCAGUUCUAUGAGCCAGAACCAAAAGAAUGAAGAUGAGGGGAGGCAUGGGACUAUUGGAGAGACAGUGUGGAGAAACUUACCGAUGUUCACAUUUAUAAUUGCUGGUUUGUCCUGGUGGCGAAGAAGUUUGGCCUUGAAAUCAUCACAAUCAAUCUCGCCAGAACUAAGAGUCUCAACCUUUUCACAUUCCAUUCUGUACAUACGGGCAGCUUUAAAAAUUGAAAGGAUCUCCAAGGUUGUUUAUGGAAAAGUGCUGAAGUUGAGAGAGUGCGCCAUAAUCGAAAUCCAAAUUGUAGGGGUAGCCUGCAAUAGAUUUUUCAUAAAUUAAAUGAGAUGCUAGGCCGAAUUAACUACAGAGAUUAGUUGAAGAAAUGAGCUUCAACGGAUACACAAACAACAACCAAGUCAUAUCUCACCAUGUACAUGGAUCAAAUGCCGCCAUAAUGUUCUAUAAUAUAGCAUAUCCCUAUCCAACUCAUUAAUUAAUCUCUAGAUCUUUCUCAAUGGUUACACAAAAUCCUAGUAAAAUAAAGUUACUUCAAAAAUGGAAAUGGAAAUAAAAAUCAUUUAAAUGCACUGUUAGAGAUUCCAAAAAUAUAUGCAAGACUACAAUUUUUUUUAAAUUCCCUCUUGUAUAUAGAACAUCUUAUGUGUCUUUUCGAAUGUUUUUGUAUUGUAUAAAUCUACUUUCUCACAUGCACAACUUUCAAAGGGGUCUUUUUGUGAAUCAAGGCAACAUCCACUGAAAUUGUAAUAGCGCCGACGCAGUUGCAAAUUCAUUCUGAACACAAGAUAACAUAAUAAAACACUCAAGCGAAGUCUGGAUGGAAAAAGGAUUCAAAUUAUUUUCUUGAUGUCAGCAUGGAAAAUAUCAAAACUAUAUUUACUUUUUUUCCUAAGUAAAAUGAGGUGCUAUUCACCUCCAGGAUAAGCCAUAAUACUUGGUAAUAAAAGAACAAAUAAUCUGAUAGACUCUGGUUCAUAGCCCAUACACUUGAGAAAGAAUGAAAGAAACAAGAUGAUUUUAUCAAUAAGAUCUUUCUUAGCUCUAGAUCAAUGACUAACCUGGUAUCACUCCCCCUAAGACCAAUUUCCAACCAUACAAUACACUACUUUACCCUGUCUUCCUAGUUCCUACAUCUUAAUAUCCUAUUUCUGACAGAUUUUACAGAAUUCUAAUUAACAAUGAAAACUGUAACUCCCUUUACGAACAGAAAGUAACCCGUUGAGUUAUCUAGAACUUAAGCUGUCAUUUCCUACAGACACAAUUGAGCUUACUUCCUAAUAUGGGAAUAAAGAUUUGAAAUAGAAUGAUCAAGGGAAAUAAAGAACAAGAAUGGAAUACCCCACCAAAAUGGUUAUGGGUCCAUUUACUGAAAAAAUAAUAAGAACUCCUCAUGUCAAAAUCUCCAAAAUAUAAAAAUAAAAAAACAGGAUUCUACAUGAUGUUCAUUCACUAAAAGCUUCUUAAGGGUGUACAUGGUUAACCAAAUCAAGUGAACCAAACCACUUUAUAAUUCGGUUUUGAUAAACCAAACCAAACCAAACCGUUUGUCACAAACCUUCUUCAGGGCAUUGCAUUUGCUGUUAGUAGUGCAAAUCAGGUUUGCACAAUCCUAUAUUGCCUACGGUGUUGCAACUGUCUACUGUGAUGCGUUGCUUGUUUGGUCUCUUUUGUGCAGGGAUUUUUUUUUUAGGGCUUGUAAUUGGCUCGUUAGAAUGAACAUGAAUACUUAAGUUUUAAUAAAUAUUUCCUAUGAGUAAACACUAUUUUCUUCUAUAUCCAGAACUAGCACCUACAAUACCCCCAGAUACAACAAUGACAUCCAUGUAAUGUAAUCAGCAAAGUAAAAGGAUCAAGAGAGCAAGCAUUGUCAAACCUAAAUGAUACUUUGUCCUUUCAGUUAAGGAUUUUCUGUAUCUGGCCAGCACACUUGCCAUAUGAGCAUCACGAUCGCCAGUAAUUUCAUCAUCUGCUUCUGGCUCCGUGACUUCUAGACACGUGGUGUGAAUAUUUCUACCCAGAACUAUUUCUCUUUUCUCUUUUCCUCCAUUGAUCUUUGCCUCCUCCUUGUCAAUGCCGUUGUCUGCAACUACAGGAGGCACUGGAUCUUUGAUGAUGGCUGACACAUCAAAAUCAUCAGGCAAUAGUUCGACUGCUCCAUUAGUGCUCAAACCAUUGACCAAAACAUCAGCACUUCCAACCAUUUUGUUAUCCACAACAGAGGAACAGCUGACAAAAAUUGGAUUACACAAUUAAGGGUAAAUCAUAAAAAAUGGGAACCAAAUCCAAUUUUUUUUAAAGAUAUCCCAAAACGUCAGCAAAAGGAAAAUGUUUCACUUCCACUAUAUAUAGAGCCUGUUUGUAACAACUUUUUUCAAACAAAAUAAUCAAUUAUAAAAAAUUCCAUCCAUUUGUUACGUAUUUUCAAAAAAUUGGGGAAAAAAAUCUAAAAAUUGCUUCAAACAAGAAGCUGUUUUGAUCGAUUUUUCUGAAAAUCAAUUUUUUUAUACCUGACUUUAUUUUUUAAAAAGUGAUUUUCAUUUUUAUAAAUAAACACAAAAACCUAGCCAUUUCUAUUCAUUGUGUUAAGAAGAACAUGACAUAAAAAUGCAUAAAUGCAAGCAAGAACACAUAAAAGGAAGUGAAACAAUACAUCACACAAAAUCUACGUAAAUCUCCUUUAAAUUCAUAAUAACUGUAAGUAUGUUCAAGUGCAUCUUUGGUUCCACUUUUGGAGGAGAUUUUGACAUGUUUGAUUACUCUGGAUUAGAACUAGUUUUGCCUCUACUUGAAGCUAGAAAUUGCAGCUUCUGAUUCUAUAAUUGAAAGUAAAAAUUCGUAGCUUUUGAUUAUUGAAUUGAUUUUUACAGUCAAGUUUAUUGUUCAACUUGUAUGUUUGGUUCCACUGUAACAAAAACUGAUUAUGUUUGAAUUGAUAAUGUAAAUCUGAUUUAGGCAAAUCUAAAUAGAGUGUAAAAAUGAAUUAUAGAAUUAAAAGCUACAAUUUAUAGCUAGCAUGCAAAAUCAAUUAGAAUCAAUUACAUUCAUAUAUUGUAUCGAAACACAAUAAAUUCAAUAAAAAUGCAUUAAAGUAUAUAUAAAAAUCAGAUAAGC